CUUCUUCCCCUGCCCCAACAGCAACUCCUCAAAGCAAAGAGGAAGGUAGCUCAUCUAUUUGGCCCCUUUAUACUGAUACAUGAUAGCUGCCAAAAUAGCGCGCACAGUCAGAAAUAGGUGAUUGUUAUGUCUAUUGGAGAUUUAUAUUAAUCAAAUUGCAAAUUCUCUUAAGUAACAAACUGUCUUGGGGCUUGGUUAUCACCUGCCAUGAGUUUGAGGUUUGUUAAAGCGAUGUUGGAGGUACAGAGUGGAAUUGAAUAUCAGAUUUGAGUCGUGCAGACCAGCGAACCGAUAAGUUCUUUGCUUCUCCCAAGCAUUCGGCUAUGUGUUUCAGCCAGACAUCGCAAGCUGCAUCCCAUAAUUUUAAAUUUAUUGGAAAUGUUUGCACCAAUUGCUAGUAGUGAAGCUUCUCAGUUCUCAUGGAUGUGGAAAGCUCUCCCAUAUAAUGUCAUAGUUUGAAACUCUUUAGUGCGCAGAAACUUAAGGUAGAGUUUUUAAAAAUCACUGGAUCAUGCUUUAGGCUAUCGGGGCUGUGAUCUGCUCCGAUACAGCUUCUCUAAGUCUGUGUUCCAAACAUUAGUUUCAAUUCUAUGAGAUUCUGGCCCUUGAUACAUUCAUCUGUGAUUGUACUCUGUUGUCAUUGCUAUCCUAUUCUACAAGAGGCAUGGUCAGCAAUGAAUGGUUGUGAAGUUGCUUUCCAUAUUAGUUGCUUUUGUGUCACAGCUACCUCUGAGCUGAUGUACAAAAAGAACAACAACAUAAACCUAAAAACCCAUCUAAACUCCAGCACAAACAGUAUAUCCCCACACUUAGAUUUUAAUUAAAAAGAAAUAAUUCUCUACUGCUAAAUGGCUACUUCUUGCUGUUUCUGUAGAGGUGAUGGGUUUGUACAAGUUACAGACAACAUCGCCAACAGAGAAGUGCUACAGAAAACUGAUCAGAAGUGCCUGCGGGACAUUGUGAAAGGGAGACAACUGAGAUUGACAGGACACGUAUUUCGCCUCCCAGAGUAGCUGUAGAAUGUACAUCACCAGAUGGAAAAAGAAGACGGGGCCAGUUGAAGAAGACCUGGUGAAGUACAUUUAAGGAGGACCUUCAAGAGUGGGACAUCACCUGGGCUGGAGCAAAAGAGAUUGUGGUGAACGAGAGUCUUGCUGCCCAUUGUCCUGCUUAGGACCAGAGGAACUAAGUCUAAAUACUUACCUCAAGAGUCCAGCUGCUUCACUCUGUUCCCUUCCUCAUCUGUUGAGAAGUGGUUCGAGGAAGAUUGCCUCUGCAUUUGAUGAAGCAAUGUUUGGGUUUCCGUGACAACUGCCAUUAAGUAAGAGAACUGAACCGGAGUUUGAAUUGUUCUGUGCACAGCUGCUGCUGAGAAGACAUCCUGCUGCCACCUCAGAACUGCAAUCCUGUAAAUAUUUAACACAGAGCUUGAGAGAAGUAAAAUUCAGCAGAAAAUCAUGUAAAACCAUGUAGGAGGCAAUAAGUUUACCAUAAUAAAAUGAAAGCUGGAAACUUUGAAACUCUGGUGAAAAAUAGGAACAUAAAGAAGGGAGAGGGAGACAAGGAAUGUAUAAAGCCUGUGAAGAUACAAACACAGAUAUUCAUUUUAUUAGUGAAAUUUCUGAGGGUAACAUUCUUACCUGAAUAACAUUCUUUAUUUUCUGCAUAUUUUAUCAGCACUGUUUAAUUUUUGUAUUGCUCAGUUUCUCUAAUUUACUCCUUUGUGUCCCUAUUACCAUUCUCUGACAGUACAGUCCUCUUUACCUGGAGGUUGAGUGUGAGAGGACAGUUUUCAUUAGUCUCCUACCUGAGUUUCAAUAGAACUGUCAGGUUUAGAUUGAGAUUUAAACAGUGAUCUCAAUCAGGCAGAUGGCUCAAAGGAAUUCCAUCAGAAGCUGAGGGUGAGUUCAAGACAACGAAGAUUGAGACUGAUGUAGAAGAGGAUCCUGGUUCACAAUACACUAUCAGACAUCGAAAAUUACCCCGAAUAAGGAAAAAUGUUCUGGGGGAAUUUUCCCACAACACUCAAAAUGGAUAAGGCAAAAAAUCCAUCUCCCCGUGAAUCGAAAAUAUGAAAACAAUGUAAGAAUACAAUAGCCAGUUUGGCUAAAUUACUGUAUUGAUAUAAUAUUUUCUUACUGCCAUUUUACAAUUUAUCAUUACUAAUACAACCAGUACUCUCCUGAACACUUUUGCUCUUUCUAACACUAAAUUGACUAUUAAAAAAGCUCCCUUAUAUCCUCAUGGUGCUGAAAUUAAAAUUCAUUGCAUAGUCUAUUCAUUCUUUCACAGCGAC